rnacentral:lncRNA from 1 species
GUUUCUAGAAGGGGGGUGCUCUAGAAAUAUUUUGGAAAUAUUUGGAAACAGUGGUAAUAACUAUUGCAGGAAGUGUGUGUGUGUGUGUGUGUGUGAGAGAGAGAGAGAGGGAGAGGGAGGGAGAGAGAGAGAGAGAGAGAGAGAGAGAGAGAGAGAGAGAGAAAUUCAGAAACAGAAUGACUUCUUCAGAGGGUUUAGCCUGGUCUAGUUCUCAGGCGAGGGAACUCUGAUGCUGGUCUGAAGACCCUGUCCCAUCCCCUCACAUUCCUGGAAGUCCCCUCCAGGACAUCUUGCUGCUGCAACUCCACUCCUCAUAGGCAGUUUUUGGGUGAUGACUUACAAGAUGGCUGAAACCCAGCAACUAUUUUUUUCUUUUUAAAGAAAAUUAUUGUGGUAAAAUACAUUUAACAUGAAAUUUACCAAUUCAGUCAUUUUAAAGUAUACAAUUCAGUGUGUUCUGUAUAAUCCCAAUGUUUCAUAGCUACCAUCACUACUAGUUUGGGGCAUUUUCAUCACCCUAAAAGAAAACUGCACCCAUUAAUUAGUUUUUCCCUCCCCUCUCCCUCCCUCUGCCCUCUGGCAAUCAUCAUUCUGCUUUUUAUCUCUAUGGAUUUGCCUAUUCAGGAUAUUUCAUAUAAGUGGAAUCAUAGAACAUGUGAUCUUUUGUGUCUUUAAAUCCAGCUGCUGUCUGCAGUCCUUGUGACCCACAGGAAGCCCACACAGUGUACUGCCAAAUGGUGGCAGUGAUGAUACUCUCUAGGAGCCUUCUCUCCACCUGCUGUUGCUCCGAUUUCUUUUUUACAGGCUUUGAAGGAUCUCAGCACCCUGCUGUCUAAGCAAGGAA